UAUGUAGGGUGCAAGCGUUAAUCGGAAUUACUGGGCGUAAAGUGUGCGUAGGCGGUGAUGUAAGACAGGUGUGAAAUCCUUGGGCUUAACCUGGGAACUGCAUUUGUGACUGCAUCGCUGGAGUGCGGCAGAGGGGGAUGGAAUUCCGCGUGUAGCAGUGAAAUGCGUAGAUAUGCGGAGGAACACCGAUGGCGAAGGUAAUCUUCUGGGCCUGCACUGACGCUCAUGCACGAAAGCGUGGGGAGUAAAU
rnacentral:rRNA from 1 species